rfam:Schistosoma haematobium scaffold80_18, whole genome shotgun sequence.
AUCCAGCUGACGAGUCCCAAAUAGGACGGAACGUGAGUCCUGGAU